ACAACCUGUUACCUGAUCAAUAGGAGUCUAUCAGUUCCAUUGGCGUUUGACAUCCCAGAGAGAGUUUGGACAAAUAAGGAGGUGCCCUACUCGCAUUUGAAGGUGUUCGGUUGCAGAGCUUUUGCACAUGUACCGAAAGAGCAAAGAACAAAGCUGGAUGAUAAAUCUGUUCCCUGCAUAUUUAUCGGAUACGGAGAUGAAGAGUUCGGGUACAGAUACCAAUAAGGAGGUGUCCUACUCGCAUCCGAAGGUGUUCGGUUGCAGUGCUUUUGCACAUGUACCGAAAGAGCAGAGAACAAAGCUGGAUGAUAAAUGUGUUCCCUGCAUAUUUAUCGGAUACGGAGAUGAAGAGUUCGGGUACAGAUUGUGGGAUCCUGUAUGUACCAAAAUAUCAGAGAACAAAGCUGGAUGAUAAAUCUGUUUCCUGCAUAUUUAUCAAAUAUGGAGAUGAAGAGUUCGGGUACAGAUUUUAGGAUCCUGUAAAGAAGAAGGUCAUCAGAAGCAGAGAUGUAGUCUUCCGAGAAAGUGAAGUUGGAACUGC
rnacentral:lncRNA from 1 species